rnacentral:rRNA from 1 species
GACAUGGCAGGAAUCCUGGAGAGAUCUGGGAGUGCUCGAAAGAGAACCUGCACACAGGUGCUGCAUGGCUGUCGUCAGCUCGUGUCGUGAGAUGUUGGGUUAAGUCCCGCAACGAGCGCAACCCUUGUCAUUAGUUGCUACGCAAGAGCACUCUAAUGAGACUGCCGGUGACAAACCGGAGGAAGGUGGGGAUGACGUCAAGUCCUCAUGGCCCUUAUGGGUAGGGCUUCACACGUCAUACAAUGGUACAUACAGAGGGCCGCCAACCCGCGAGGGGGAGCUAAUCCCAGAAAGUGUAUCGUAGUCCGGAUUGUAGUCUGCAACUCGACUACAUGAAGUUGGAAUCGCUAGUAAUCGCGGAUCAGCAUGUCGCGGUGAAUACGUUCCCGGGUCUUGUACACACCGCCCGUCACACCAUGGGAGCGGGUUUUACCAGAAGUAGGUAGCUUAACCGUAAGGAGGGCGCUUACCACGGUAGGAUUCGUGACUGGGGUGAAGUCGUAACAAGGUAGGCGUAGAUGA